UGGGGCUUGCAGAGGAGCUGCUUCAGGGAAGAGUGACAUUAGGUGGAGCUUUUGAAGAAAGGUCAGAAGGUAGUGAAACUGACAUUGGAAGGUAGUGAAUGUGGGCCAGUCAGGCGGGGACUGCUGCUCGCAGAGCAGGGACAUAGGUCCGCUGUGUGUGUGGGGGGGGGGUAGCAAGGGACAGGCGGGAGGAGUGUUCCAGCCACUUUCUCAUCCGCCUGUGCAAGCAGCAGAGCCCCUCCCCUGGGUCCCUGUGAGCAGACCUCUGGGGCCAGGUUUUGGUGGAAGCCAAAAUUUGUAGAAAUUAGCUUGUUGUGGGGGGAAUCUUCUCUGAGACCAUUUUUUUUUAGAUUUUUAGAGAAAAAAUGGGGGCAACUCCUUCCUGGGAUGGUGUUUAGGAAUUGGCUGUGGACUAAGGCAACCCCUCAGAAGCACACCACGGCAAGGACAUCCAGGAGGCAGAGGACAGUCCUGAUGGACGGCCUGGUGCUGGACUCUACACUGAGGCCACAGACACAGAGAAAGCCAAGGGUUUCCGGAGAGCUGCCAGGAGGUCGUGCAACUCCACUUCUGUCUGACAAACCAGGAACAAGGUGGUCCAGGCGACAAGUGAGACCACAAGUAUGGGGCGCAGUACCGAGCACACCGUGAGUCCUCCAGUGACUAACGAAUGGACAAAUGGUGUAGAUCGACAUAAAUUGCAGAGGUUACAGAACCUGCCCAUGGUCAGCUGGCAGGUGUGAUGCAGAGGCAGACACUGAGUCUGGACUGGACAAAUCUCCAAGGUCACACUGUUAGACACUGGGGUGAUGUGCCGUAGGUGCCUAAAGUCUGGGUCUGUCCUGUCACAGUUGUAUUUUCAGUAAACACUUGUCAAAUGAAUUUCUUUGAAUGACAGAAGUGAAAACAGGAGAAUGCAUUGCCUUUUGUCUGCUCCUUGAUGCUGGCACAUCUGGCCAUAGUCUUAUGGUUUCUUAUUUGUUUGUUUGUGUUUUGAUUUUGUUUUGAGACAGCAUCUUGCUAUGUAGUCCAAACUGGCCUUGAACUCACUAUGUUGCCAAAGGUAGCCUUGAACUUGUAAUUCUCCUGCCUCAGCUUCCCAAGUGCUGGGAUUAUGGGCAUGCACCACUACACCCAGCACAUAGCAGUAUUUACUGAACCUCUUCUGAGU
rnacentral:lncRNA from 1 species